rnacentral:rRNA from 1 species
UACAGAGGGUGCAAGCGUUAAUCGGAAUUACUGGGCGUAAAGCGCGCGUAGGUGGUUUGUGAAGUUGGAUGUGAAAUCACCGGGCUCAACCUGGGAACUGCAUUCAAAACUGACUGACUAGAGUGCGGUAGAGGGUGGUGGAAUUUCCUGUGUAGCGGUGAAAUGCGUAGAUAUAGGAAGGAACACCAGUGGCGAAGGCGACCACCUGGACCAACACUGACACUGAGGUGCGAAAGCGUGGGGAGCAAACAGG